AUUUUUGCCUUCUCCAUUUUGUGCUGCCAUUUUGUGCUGUGUUUGUACUUGCUAUUUGUGUUCUCUACAACAUGGAAAAACCUACAAGGAUGCUGAUCCGAUCCGUUGCAUGUGAUGACACAUAUUUGUAUUUGACAUGACAAUUCGUCAAGGCUUGGUACAGUGCGGUGAGACGCGAUUAUGAGAUGCAUGCAUUCGGCACAGGAGAAUUGUUUUGAGAGAGUGCGCCGUGCACAAGAGUGCUCUGCGCACAAGUGGCUUUGUUUACUUCUUACUGAAACACGACACGGCACACACGCACGCAAUGAAUAAAAUGUUUCUUUUAUUUACGA